UACAGGGGGGGCAAGCGUUGUUCGGAAUUACUGGGCGUAAAGGGCUCGUAGGUGGCCAACUAAGUCAGACGUGAAAUCCCUCAGCUUAACUGGGGAACUGCGUCUGAUACUGGAUGGCUUGAGUUUGGGAGAGGGAUGCGGAAUUCCAGGUGUAGCGGUGAAAUGCGUAGAUAUCGGGAGGAACGCCUGUGGCGAAAGCGGCGCACUGGACCAUUUCUGACGCUGAGGCGCGAAAGCUAGGGGAGCAAACAGG
rnacentral:rRNA from 1 species